UACGUAGGUGGCAAGCGUUGUCCGGAUUUAUUGGGCGUAAAGGGAGCGCAGGUGGUUUCUUAAGUCUGAUGUGAAAGCCCACGGCUUAACCGUGGAGGGUCAUUGGAAACUGGGGAACUUGAGUGCAGAAGAGGAAAGUGGAAUUCCAAGUGUAGCGGUGGAAUGCGUAGAUAUUUGGAGGAACACCAGUGGCGAAGGCGACUUUCUGGUCUGUAACUGACGCUGAGGAGCGAAAGCAUGGGUGGCGAACAGGAUUAGAUACCCCGGUAGUCCCUGAG
rnacentral:rRNA from 1 species